AUUGGCUUGGUCAAUAAGUUCACUCAGAUUUUUCCAUAAGAUCUUAUAGAAAAAUCCAAAUGAACUUUUUGGCCAACCCAAU
rnacentral:miRNA from 1 species